CUUCCCUCCUUCCCCCUGCCACCCAUAUCCCACCACCGCCCCCACCUCUGCCUCCAUGUCCUCCAUCGCCACCAAAAUGCUCCACCGCCUUCUCCUCCCCACCUACAUUCUCCUCCUCUCCCUCCCAUUUCCCCUCCCCGCGGACGCCGCCGUCCCACUCUACUCCAACUCCACCCACCACCCCUACGCCCACCCAGACCCCGAAUCCGUCGUCCGCGAAGUCCAAAGGCAAGUGGAGUCCUCCCGGCGGCGAGCCCUGCUCCAGGCCAAGGAGAAAGACCAGUCGUCGUGCCUCACCGGAAACCCGAUCGACGACUGCUGGCGUUGUUCCGGCGACUGGCAUUCCAACCGGCAGCGGCUUGCCGACUGCGGCUUGGGGUUCGGCCGUGACGCCCUGGGAGGCAAGGGGGGCCCGAUCUACGUGGUGACCGACUCCGCCGACCGCGACCCGGUGAACCCCGCCCCCGGCACCCUCCGCUACGGCGCCAUCCAGGAGGGCCCACUCUGGAUCGUCUUCGCCGGCGACAUGACCAUCCGCCUCAACGAGGAGCUCAUCGUGAACAGCUUCAAGACCAUCGACGGCCGCGGCGCCAACGUCCACAUCGCCGGCGGCGCCUGCAUCACCCUCCAGUACGUCUCCCACGUCAUCCUCCACAACCUCCACAUCCACCACUGCGUCCCCGCCGGCGAGGCCAACGUCCGCUCCUCCCCGACCCACUACGGCUGGCGCACCCGCUCGGACGGCGACGGCGUCUCCAUCUACGGCGGCCGGAACAUCUGGGUGGACCAUUGCUCCCUGUCCUACUGCACCGACGGCCUGAUCGACGCCAUCAUGGGCUCCACCGCCAUCACCAUCUCCAACAAUUACUUCUCCCACCACAACGAGGUGAUGCUCCUGGGGCACAACGACAAUUACCCGCUGGACCUCGGGAUGCAGGUGACCAUCGCCUUCAACCACUUCGGGGAGGAGCUGGUGCAGCGGAUGCCGCGCUGCCGCCGCGGGUACAUCCACGUCGUCAACAACGACUUCACCCAGUGGGAGAUGUACGCCAUCGGGGGCAGCGCCAACCCCACCAUCAACAGCCAGGGCAAUCGCUACACCGCCCCCUCCAACCCCAACGCCAAGGAGGUGACGAAGAGGGUGGACACGGACGAGGGGGAUUGGGCGGGAUGGAACUGGAGGACGGAGGGCGACAUCAUGGUGAACGGGGCCUUCUUUGUGCCGUCGGGGGCGGGGUUGGAGGCCACCUACGCCAAGGCGGAGAGUGUUAAUCCGAAGCCGGCCGCGCUCAUCGAUCAGCUAACCAUGAACGCCGGCGUCCUCGGUGGGCCCAGGGUUCGGAGUGCUUUGAGAGCUGUGCGUGACAUGAUCGAUGGUUGGUUCUGUGAAAAAAGACCGGUCAUUCAUCGGAGCAAAAGAUACAACCCGAACCCCAUCUAACAAUCGUUAGGAACCGUUUCUUAUUAUAAUAGCGUUGUAGGAGGUCCGUUAGUGAGGGAUACAGCGCGGAGUGCGUGAUGAGAGAGAAGUUGCGGCAGCUUAGUUUGGGUCGCGUUUCGGGUGUUCGUGGUAGGUCUUUUAAUACUUUUUGCCAGCUGGAGUACAAAAAGGCGCGACUCUGGAUUACAGGGGUAGGGUAUCCAGGAUCAGCUGUUGCCACAAACUCCUCCUCAGGGUCAAUAGCAGAUAGGUACUUGAAGCCGUGGCUAUUGUGUCGUGGAGAAGGCUGUCUGCUGUUUUUCUGAUAGUCUGGAGUUGGGAAUUCAAGAGUAUGUCGAGGGUAUUUUGGUGCAAAAAAUAAAUUUUGAAGACAGCGAUGGGGACAAAACCCUAGUGAGAGGGUAGGCCAAGAAAACCGUUCGGUCCAAAGGAAACGGUGCUUUUGGAUGGGGAAACUGCCCUUGCAAUCAAAUACGGUAUUCCUGACGGAAGAAGGGCCGCGAAAUGGAGCUACGGAGGACGGUGGUGUACAAAGAUCAUGAAGAACGUCACUGCAUAUGGAGCUGGACGGUGGGAUAACGAUGUGGGGACCGGCUAUGCUGGAGUCAACGUUGGAGGGACCGGCUCGACAGCAUACAGCGGAGGAGGA